AAACAGUCUUUUCCUACAUUCUUUUUUCAAAUGCUAUUUAUUUCCAAACUUGCCUGGAUAAAGAUGUAGAAUAGGUUAUAGUCUUGUGCAAGAUUUAAAUUCCAUCUUUUUAUGUUCAUAGGAAGUAGAGCAUCAGGUCACUGGAAAGAGGAGACUGCUUUGCAGUGGAAGGGAGCAUUUAGCAGUGCUGUUCCAUCGCAGCCCUACCUGGGUGCUAUCUGUUGGAGAGCAGCAGAGARGUCCCAGCUACCCAUGAGGAUGGAGCAGGAGCAGAAGGAUAUUAUCACUGCCUGUCUAAUUUAGGACUGAGGGGGAGAGGAAGAAGUUGUUGCUGAUAGUGUUAGCUGUGACAAAAUAAAACAGAUGUCACAGGAGGAGAGUAAGAAGGGACCACAUCUCAAGGUAGCAAAAGAAGCAGCUAAAUUUUAAGAAUGUUGGCUGCCCUGGGCUUUGAAACCUUUUUUCAGUUAAGUGGUGCAGUCACUACCGUGUUCUGUAUUGUCUCCUGUUGCAUUACCCAGCACUUCACUUUCACAGGCAGGUUCUAAUAAAAGCUAACCUUACUUAGCAUGUCUUUUUGUCAGGAUCUGAGUCCCUGUUUCCAUGGCUUGUUCAUUCUGUGGAAGAGACAGAGAUGGCCGUAACCUUGCCUGAGCAGUAUCUCUCGGGGUUUGUUAGUCAUUUUUCCUGGCUGUGUGAAAUCAGUCCAAAUUCAAAGAGUUGCCUCUCCAAGUAUGUGAAUUCUGGUAUCUCAGACUGGGCAAGCAGUGACUAUUACCUCAGUCAAGCGAAUACGGCUUCUGUGACUCAGCUGGAGUUACAGUUGCGGGAGGAGUGUGCCAGCCAGAGAGAAGACAGCGUCUAAAGCUCGUGGCCUGAAGGCAACUAUUGACUACAUAGCUUACUUGGGAUAAAAUGCUACGGAAGACUAAAACACCUCUAUUGGGAACAGUUUUUCUGCAAAAUGGGUAAGUGGCUUUUUAAGUAGCCAUAUAAAAAUCUAAAGAAAGUCCAGUUUUAAAAAGUUGUAGAACAGGUAUCUGUGGAACAUGCAAUUUAUAAAACUUGCUGCAGUAAUGCUUGAUUUAGAACAAUUACCGCACUGAAGUAGUUGCCUUUUUUCCCUUAAAAAAAACCAAAACCUGAACAGGUUUCCAACAGAAGUUUGGAGAAUUGACUGGAAUGGAAAUGUAACCAGGCCUUGGGAAACUCCAGUAUAAGGUUGCUGUUUGCUCAGAGGUCUUUUCUCCUCCCAUCUGAGAUCAUUCCCUUGCCUGCUCACUUUUUAAAAGUAAUCACUAGUUGCUAGAAAUAACUAUUGCAAAGAAAGACUAAUAUGCUAGUUGCAUGCUUACACUUGGAUUUGUGUACAUUGCCUGCUGGUUUAAAAGGAAGCUG
rnacentral:lncRNA from 1 species